UACUUAGGUAUUAAGUUGCAUGUUUUCUUUUCCUGUAAUUUUCAAAUUGCAUGCAAGAGUGCUAUCAAAUUUUAUUUCAGUUUUGAAGGUAGUUCUGAGGAGACUUACUCUGUUUUCUGCUUGCAGGAGGUGCUCAGCUGUUUGGACUUAGACUGGCUUUUGCUGAGGACGAGUUGGGUAUGCCUUGUGCAGCUAUUCCUACUUCACAGCUAUGGAAUUAAAAAAAUAGGUGGAAUUUUCCAAUCCAGGACGAUGAUGAGGCAACUUUAUACUGGGGUGCAUUUAUAUCAACAUGCAAAUAUUCUAGUUUUUGUAUACUGUAUUGAAGUAGGGCUCUAAAGCUUUGAGUUGGAUUUGAUUUUAUAUCAUGUGCCUUUUAGUUCAGCCUACUGUCAGUGGCACUAAUCCUAAAAUGUGAAGUUGCCAAUAAAUGUCUAGAUCUCAGGGUCUACA
rnacentral:lncRNA from 1 species